AUGUGUAUAAUAUGUUAAUUAAGCUUUAAUUUCAGUUUUGAUGAAUGUUAGGGUUUUGAGAAUUUGUGUUUGAUUUAAAUUGAUGAAUUAAUUUGAAGGUUAUAAGGUUAAUUGUUGUAGGUAAUUGAUUAUUAAGUUGAUUAUGGAAGAUUAUGAUGAUUUUGAGUUAUGGUUUUGUUUGAAUGGUGAAAUUGUGUUAGAAAUCAGGGGAUAACAGUAGGUGAUCUGUUGAAAUUCUGGGUUUGAGGUUGAAGAUGACGAAAAUUCAAAUUGGUCCCUCAAUUUCCGAAAAUUACAGUUUAGUCCCCGAACUUUGGAAAAUUACAAAUUGGUCCCUGGAGCAUAUUCCGAGAUUCUG
rnacentral:lncRNA from 1 species